AGCGAAAAAGGCAAACCCGUCGUGAGGCGGGGACGCAAAGCCACGGGACCCACGAGGGUCAGCCGGGCUACCGAAC
rnacentral:ncRNA from 1 species